rnacentral:lncRNA from 1 species
CUAAGGGGGACAGGUCCCUGGGGAAGCAGAGGGCCUGAGGCAUGGACCAGGAUGACCUGGGCUACCUGCAUGGAAACCUCUUUCUCCUGCCAGGAGAGCCCUGGAACUAAGCCUGGCUCUGGUAAAUAGCUCCAAUGUGCGAGCCAUGAUGCAAGAGCUGCAGGCCUUUCUGGAGUCCUGCCCUCCUGACCUACGGGCUGACUGUGCCUCAGGCAUCCUGCUGGCUGCAGAGAGGUUUGCUCCAACCAAACGCUGGCACAUAGACACCAUCCUGCAUGUGCUGACAACGGUGAGGCAGGGGCCAGUCAGAGAGCUGGGCAGAAGUGGUCAAGAUUCACCACACUGACUUGGCCAUGCCCACACCUUCCAGGCGGGCACCCAUGUGCGGGAUGAUGCAGUGGCCAACCUGACCCAGCUGAUUGGGGGGGCCCAGGAGCUACAUGCCUACUCUGUGCGCCGCCUCUACAAUGCCCUGGCAGAAGACAUUUCCCAGGUACCAUUCCCACCUACCUAGGCCCAGGGCUGCCCAACCACUCCCUUGCCCAUCCUGGGCCACCUCCUCCCUACUAGAUUCCAAUUUUUCUCUCAAGGUCACAGCUGCUUACACAGUGCAGAAGACAUCUGAGCACAGAGCCCUGUUUUUAAGAACAUCUGGGCUUUUGUCCUGACUCUGGUACCUCCUGGUUAUGUAACUACAGAUGACUAACUUCCCUUAUGCUCCAUGUACCCUGACUGCCUCUUAGAGCUGCCUUGAGAUUAAAGCUCUUGUGUUUAUGAGGUUUUAUUAUUACCUUGAAUGCUGAAUGAAUUAACAGAUGCCAGCCAGUAUCUAUAGCCCCCUUUUCCAUCUUAAUUAAAUAGGGUGGGCAGAAAGCAUCAUCCACCCCUUCCACAAGGGAGGGACCCUCUCACAUUUCCAUCCUGUUUGGUUAGGCCAUGUAGUUCUGAUGCUUGGCCACCAGAGGGCAGUGGGAGCCAGGUAACAAACUUCCCUUUCCCCACUCCUCCAACCCCCCACCAUCUCUGCACUGCCUAAAGGGAUAUUGCCAGGUCUGGAAGUGAGGAGGGGACCUCAGACACUGGCCCAGCAGUGUUUCUUUCUUUCUCUCUCUCUCUUUUUUUUUUUAAAAUAGAGAUGGGGGGGGUCUCGCUUUGUUGCCCAGGCUGGUCUUGAACUCCUGGUCUCAAGCAAUCCUCCCGCCUCAGCCUCCCAAUGCGCUGGGAUUACAGGCUUGAGCCACCAUGCCUGGCCAGCCCAGCAGUUUCUUAUCCCAUGUAGCAACCACUGGUGCAGGUGGCAGCCUGGUGCAUUGGGGAGUAUGGGGACCUCCUGCUGGCAGGGAACUGCGAGGAGAUUGAGCCCCUUCAGGUGGACGAAGAGGAAGUGCUGGCAUUGCUGGAAAAGGUGCUGCAGUCCCACAUGUCCCUGCCAGCCACUCGAGGAUAUGCCCUCACAGCCCUCAUGAAGCUCAGCACUCGCCUCUGUGGGGACAACAAGUAAGAAGGGGUCCCAGCCCCUUGAGAGAUGGCCUGUCACUGGGUCCACCCAUUUUUGAGUUUCUUUCCAGGCAUACAUGCCCAGCCCUCCCUACCCCCUAGCCCUUAGGUUCUUGUUUUUGAGCCAAAUCUGGGUAUUUCCCUGCUCCGUGGGCCUUUCCUUCUUGCCACAUCCUGCAGUGGCACACUGCCAUAGCCACUUACAUACUACACUGGCCCAGCCGCAUCCGCCAGGUGGUGUCCAUCUACGGGAGCUGCUUGGACGUGGAGCUGCAGCAGCGGGCUGUGGAGUAUGACACACUCUUCCGGAAAUACGACCACAUGAGGUGUGUCCAGCACUGUGCUGCAGCAUGGGACCCAAACCCCUGCCCUCUCCCAAAUGCCCUUUUCUAGGUACAAGGGCCUCAUCCUCACCUGUGUUCUUCCAUAUCCACGGUGAGAGCUUCCCACCCACUGUUAAUUGAAGCUAAGCUGGCUUCCAACCCUCCUUGUUCAUCUGAAAAUCAGCAACAACAUGUCAUUUUAGGAAAUCAGAAGGGUACUUCUGAGCCACCAUGUGCCCAGGGCUCCAUAUUCCUAGUCCUCAUCCUAGAUGCCUCUUGUGAAAGGCCCAGAGACCACACAGAGGCACACUUGCAUUCCAUCCUCUCAGGGCUGCCAUCCUGGAAAAAAUGCCUCUUGUGGAGCGAGAUGGCCCUCAGGCUGAUGAGGAAGCAAAGGAAAGCAAAGAAGCAGCCCAGCUUUCAGAAGCAGCCCCAGUGCCCACAGAGCCCCAGGCCUCACAGCUCCUGGAUCUGCUAGAUCUCCUGGAUGGGGCUUCUGGGGAUGUCCAGCAUCCUCCCCAUCUGGACCCCUCCCCAGGAGGUGCCCUGGUACACCUGCUUGACCUUCCCUGUGUACCUCCACCCCCAGCUCCCAUCCCAGAUCUCAAAGUGUUUGAGCGUGAGGGAGUACAGCUGAAUCUGUCUUUCAUUCGACCCCCUGAAAACCCUGCUUUGCUGUUAAUCACCAUCACUGCCACCAACUUCUCAGAGGGUGAUGUCACCCAUUUCAUCUGCCAGGCUGCUGUGCCCAAGAGUCUCCAGCUGCAGCUGCAGGCCCCCAGUGGGAACACAGUUCCAGCUCGGGGUGGCCUUCCUAUCACCCAGCUCUUCAGAAUCCUCAAUCCUAACAAGGCCCCCCUGCGGCUAAAGCUGCGCCUCACCUACGACCACUUUCACCAGUCGGUGCAGGAGAUCUUUGAGGUGAACAACUUGCCUGUGGAAUCGUGGCAGUAACUGUCUCCACUCACAGCCUGAAAUUCUCCUGUGUCCCAAACCCCAGGGGGCCCCAGCAGCUUCGAACCUACACCUGAGGGCUACCAGCAGGUGGCGCUCUGGCUUUGCACUGCAAAAACUGGGGACCAGCCCCCUUCUCCCACAAAUAAAGCCCAAUAAAGCCUGAGAAGUGAGGAAAGCC